rnacentral:rRNA from 1 species
GUACACUCCUACGGGAGGCAGCAGUGGGGAAUAUUGGACAAUGGGCGCAAGCCUGAUCCAGCCAUGCCGCGUGAGUGAUGAAGGCCCUAGGGUUGUAAAGCUCUUUCACCGGAGAAGAUAAUGACGGUAACCGGAGAAGAAGCCCCGGCUAACUUCGUGCCAGCAGCCGCGGUAAUACGAAGGGGGCUAGCGUUGUUCGGAUUUACUGGGCGUAAAGCGCACGUAGGCGGACUAUUAAGUCAGGGGUGAAAUCCCGGGGCUCAACCCCGGAACUGCCUUUGAUACUGGUAGUCUUGCGUUCGAGAGAGGUGAGUGGAAUUCCGAGUGUAGAGGUGAAAUUCGUAGAUAUUCGGAGGAACACCAGUGGCGAAGGCGGCUCACUGGCUCGAUACUGACGCUGAGGUGCGAAAGCGUGGGGAGCAAACAGGAUUAGAUACCCGUGUAGUCCCAUGA